AUUUGUACCCUCAAGCUUUGCUUGGUGAUGGGUGUUUGUUCCGCUGCAACGCGUGAACUCGCCUCAAAUCAAUUGGCAGCCGGCAAUCUGGUGUUGGAGCGCAGCACAUUUUGCGCUCUUCGCUGUAGAUUGCGGGCGUCCAUGAAGCCUAUAUUUUCGCGCUUGACCUCGGAUCAGGUAGGGAUACCCGCUGAACUUAA
rnacentral:misc_RNA from 1 species